UACGUAGGGGGCGAGCGUUGUCCGGAAUCAUUGGGCGUAAAGCGCGUGUAGGCGGCCCGGUAAGUCCGCUGUGAAAGUCCAGGGCUCAACCCUGGGAUGCCGGUGGAUACUGUCGGGCUCGAGUCCGGAAGAGGCGAGUGGAAUUCCUGGUGUAGCGGUGAAAUGCGCAGAUAUCAGGAGGAACACCAAUUGCGAAGGCAGCUCGCUGGGACGUUACUGACGCUGAGACGCGAAAGCGUGGGGAGCAACAGG
rnacentral:rRNA from 1 species